rnacentral:rRNA from 1 species
GACGAACGCUGGCGGCGUGCUUAACACAUGCAAGUCGAACGAUGAACCCGGAGCUUGCUCUGGGGGAUUAGUGGCGAACGGGUGAGUAACACGUGAGUAACCUACCCUGGACUCUGGGAUAAGCGUUGGAAACGACGUCUAAUACCGGAUAGGACCUUGGAUCGCAUGAUCUGGGGUGGAAAGUUUUUUCGGUCUGGGAUGGACUCGCGGCCUAUCAGCUUGUUGGUGAGGUAAUGGCUCACCAAGGCGUCGACGGGUAGCCGGCCUGAGAGGGUGACCGGCCACACUGGGACUGAGACACGGCCCAGACUCCUACGGGAGGCAGCAGUGGGGAAUAUUGCACAAUGGGCGAAAGCCUGAUGCAGCAACGCCGCGUGCGGGAUGACGGCCGUCGGGUUGUAAACCGCUUUUAGUAGGGAAGAAGGGCUUCGGCUUGACGGUACCUGCAGAAAAAGGACCGGCUAACUACGUG